GCGAUAACGACGACUAAUGAGUUUGCAGCCUAUCUCCUCUGUGAUAGCAGCAGCAGCUGCCGGCAGGUCCCUGUGACAUUCUGGAGUUGUUCUGUGAGUCGGCAGAAAAACUAAUCCCUGUAACGGAAGAGAAGCAUGCCUCUUUGAGGAUCAAAAUCAUGGGGGAAUCUCUCUGAGAUAAAAGCACACAUAGAAUGCUGUUCAGUUCUCUGGGAUACCCACAAUUCUGCACAAGUACGGAAUUUAGUAUAAGGCACUUCAUUUAGCCUCCUGAAAAUUUUGCCUUUAGUUUUCCCCGUUCUUUUAUUUUAAAAGAGCACAGCUAUGGUCUUGAAAUUAAGCUUGGCAGCAUGUGAUUUUCAGACACCCAAGGAGAGAGGGGGAAGGUUAAGGGUCGGGGCUUCAGUACUGCCGACAUGUUUCACUUACAGCAAAAUUUAAGUUGAAAAUCUUGCUGUAGGAAUUUCAAGGGAAGCAAUACAAAUGUGGUUGGAUCAGUACAUUUCCUCAGGUGGGAUUCGCUCCUCCAUCCUUGUUGUAACUCCCAACUGCGGGAAGCGAAAGAAAUUACGCAAAGGAAGCAAAAUACGCACAGGUUGCAGAAUAUAUACAGGUUGCAGAAUCAAGCUUUUCUUGGUGCUGAACUACAGAGGUGCAUCUGUUCCAUUUAUGCAUUUAUUUGGGAAUGCAGGGGAUCCACAGUGCCAGCUGAAGGGCCGCCUUACUUUUCCUCACUUCCAUUUUAGGUGAGGCUUGGAAAGGUAUUUUCCCCCUGGAGAAGCAAAGAGGCCAAUAAGAAAAGUCCUAGAGCAAAUUGUUGAGGAAAUCUUGCAUCCCCCGCUCUAGAGCUCCACCUGUGGUGAAGCCGCUCUGAGCUUUCUCUUUCACAUCAUUGAUGGGAAGUUACUCCACUUGUGCAAAGGAAUUGUAGUUGAGUGUGGGAACACCACACCCAGACACACAAAUUAGACUUGUGUACAUGAAUUGGGUCAAAGAAGCAAAAACUUGGUUCAUUCAGCAAUGAGGAAGGAAAGGAAAGGCAAAUUCGAAAGACAUUUGGCACAGCCUUUGGGGCCUUCGUUUUUGCUCGGCACUGCUGGUAGGGUGGUCCAAAAUUAAAGAAUGAACUCCAUGGCAGAGUGAGUCCACCUUUAGCCCAGAGCUCUAAGCCACUUUUCUCAUUUGGUUGUUAUUUAUUAAAUUUCUAUUACUCAACACUGAUGCUCUCAUUUGAUACAUUGGAAUGACCCAGUCACACAUGGUGGAAUGACUUGCUCUCAGAAAUCUCCCACUGCAUUUCUGUGUUCAUAGCUCUUCCAGACACACCUCUUCCUGAUUUUUUUCCAGGUAUAAUAGAGAAGCUCCUUCCAGAAUGCCUCUUCCUGUUCUUCAAUAGAUAACAUGAUCCUGGCAUGACACUUCCUGGUCUCUUUGUAUGCAGUAGAGAAGCUCCUCUAAGUAUGCCUUUUUUCGUGUGCAAGAGGUAAGCUCCAUGCCUCUUCCACGAGAAACGUGCCUUUCAUUUUGAUGCAGAAAAACAACAACACUGCACUGCAGGUCUGAGAAGUUUGAAAAACCACAGAGUGGGAUUCUGUUUCAACUCAGGCAUGUUGAUUUUAAGUCUCCCGCACGUUCCUUGCCUCACUGACGGCUUUGUUAAUUAAAGCAAGGUUAGCCCGAUCCAAUUCAUGCUUUAAGUGACUGUUUAACAGAGACGGUUUUGCCACAGGGAUGUCAGCUGUGGAUUUUGUCUAAUUAAGGGCCUAAUAGACGUGUCACUUUGCCUUAGGUGGGCAUUUAUAACAAGCAAGUCUUCCCAUGGCGGCUGUGAAAACGAGUGCUGGAAUCUGUCCCUCUCGACUCUUCUGAUUCAGAGGCUCUGUGAAGCGGGCUUGGGAAACAGUUUGCAGAUAGGAAUCCUCUGCAGUCGUGGAGGCUGCCUGGGCACCGGACCCCAAGGGGUUAAUGUUGUGUGGCAAAUGAUCGCAUCUUGUGGGGC
rnacentral:lncRNA from 1 species